rnacentral:rRNA from 1 species
AGAUUGAACGCUGGCGGAAUGCUUUACACAUGCAAGUCGAGCGGCAGCGCGGGGGCAACCCUGGCGGCGAGCGGCGAACGGGUGAGUAAUACCAUCGGAACGUGUCCUUGAGUGGGGGAUAGCUCGGCGAAAGCCGGAUUAAUACCGCAUAAGCUCUGAGGAGGAAAGCGGGGGAUUCGCAAGGACCUCGCGCUGUUGGAGCGGCCGAUGUCGGAUUAGCUAGUUGGUGGGUAAAGGCCCACCAAGGCGACGAUCCGUAGCUGGUCUGAGAGGAUGAUCAGCCACACUGGAACUGAGACACGGUCCAGACUCCUACGGGAGGCAGCAGUGGGAAUUUGGACAAUGGGGCAACCGUGAUCCAGCCAUUCCGCGUGAGUGAAGUAAGGCCUUCGGUGUAAAGCUCUUUCGGACGAACGAAUGGUUAACGACUAACACCUAGUCGACUCGAGUCGACGGUACCGUAAGAA